GUAAUGUCUGGGAAACUGCCUGAUGGAGGGGGAUAACUACUGGAAACGGUGGCUAAUACCGCAUAACGUCGCAAGACCAAAGAGGGGGACCUUCGGGCCUCUUGCCAUCAGAUGUGCCCAGAUGGGAUUAGCUUGUUGGUGAGGUAACGGCUCACCAAGGCGACGAUCCCUAGCUGGUCUGAGAGGAUGACCAGCCACACUGGAACUGAGACACGGUCCAGACUCCUACGGGAGGCAGCAGUGGGGAAUAUUGCACAAUGGGCGCAAGCCUGA
rnacentral:rRNA from 1 species